rnacentral:rRNA from 1 species
GACGAACGCUGGCGGCGUGCCUAACACAUGCAAGUCGAACGGAGAAUUUAGCAAUGAAUUCUUAGUGGCGAACGGGUGAGUAACGCGUAGACAACCUGCCUUUUAGAUGGGGACAACACCGCGAAAGUGGUGCUAAUACCGAAUGUUGCAUUUUGAUCGCAUGAUUGAGAUACUAAAGAUGGCCUCUAUUUAUAAGCUAUCGCUAAAAGAUGGGUCUGCGUCUGAUUAGCUAGUUGGUGAGGUAAUGGCUCACCAAGGCGACGAUCAGUAGCCGGUCUGAGAGGAUGAACGGCCACACUGGGACUGAGACACGGCCCAGACUCCUACGGGAGGCAGCAGUGGGGAAUCUUCCGCAAUGGACGAAAGUCUGACGGAGCAACGCCGCGUGAGUGAAGAAGGUUUUCGGAUCGUAAAACUCUGUUUUCAGGGACGAAUGUGCAGAUUGUGAAUAAUGAUUUGUAAUGACGGUACCUGAGUAGAAAGCCACGGCUAACUACGUGCCAGCCGCCGCCGUAA